rnacentral:tRNA from 1 species
GCCGGAGUGGCGGAAUUGGUAGACGCAGGGGACUUAAAAUCCCCCGGUAGAAAUACUGUACCGGUUCGAGUCCGGUCUCCGGUACCA